rnacentral:tRNA from 1 species
UGGCGGAUGGUGCAAUGGUAGCACAGAGGACUUUGGAUCCUUUAAUCUAGGUUCGAAUCCUAGUCCGCCAGCCA